AUUGAACGUUGGCGGCAUGCCUUACACAUGCGAGUCGAACGGUAACGGGCCUUCGGGUGCCGACGAGUGGCGAACGGGUGAGUAAUGCAUCGGAACGUACCUUUCAGUGGGGGAUAACGUAGCGAAAGUUACGCUAAUACCGCAUAUUCUGUGAGCAGGAAAGCAGGGGAUCGCAAGACCUUGCGCUGAUUGAGCGGCCGAUGUCAGAUUAGCUAGUUGGUGAGGUAAAGGCUCACCAAGGCGACGAUCUGUAGCGGGUCUGAGAGGAUGAUCCGCCACACUGGGACUGAGACACGGCCCAGACUCCUACGGGAGGCAGCAGUGGGGAAUUUUGGACAAUGGGGGCAACCCUGAUCCAGCCAUGCCGCGUGAGUGAAGAAGGCCUUCGGGUUGUAAAGCUCUUUCGGCCGGGAAGAAAUCGCACAGGCUAAUACCUUGUGUGGAUGACGGUACCGGAAUAAGAAGCACCGGCUAACUACGUGCCAGCCGCCGCCGUAACAC
rnacentral:rRNA from 1 species